rnacentral:rRNA from 1 species
AUUGAACGCUGGCGGCAUGCUUUACACAUGCAAGUCGAACGGUAACAGGCCUUCGGGUGCUGACGAGUGGCGAACGGGUGAGUAAUGCAUCGGAACGUACCCAGAGGUGGGGGAUAACGCAGCGAAAGCUGUGCUAAUACCGCAUGUGAUCUGAGGAUGAAAGCGGGGGACCGAGCAGCAAUGUUUGGCCUCGCGCCUUUGGAGCGGCCGAUGUCGGACUAGCUAGUUGGUGGGGUAAAGGCCUACCAAGGCGACGAUCCGUAGCUGGUCUGAGAGGACGACAAGCCACACUGGGAGUGAGACACGGCCCAGAGUCCUACGGGAGGCAGCAGUGGGGAAUGUGGGACAAUGGGCGCAAGCCUGAUCCAGCAGUGCCGCGUGCGGGAAGGAGGCCUUCGGGUUGUAAACCGCUUUUGGCAGGAACGAAACGGUGUCCGCUAAUACCGGGCGCGAAUGACGGUACCUGCAGAAUAAGCACCGGCUAACUACGUG